CUGCGGAAUUUCAUACUGUGAAUUUAUAUAAAUUUAUUGUUUUCAAUUAUAGACUUUAAAAAAUAUUAUCAUGCACUUUACCAAGCCAGUAAGAAACCAGCAAACAAGUGUCUACCUACCUCUGUACAUCUUCGGGUACAGCUCGCAGGCAGUAUGAGGCCAUGUGAACUAACAAUUUAGAAGGGAAGAUCGGAAAAGAACAAAAAGUCAAGGUCCAUUCUCCAUCUCUAGCCUGAAACUCUGAAGCCACCAGUUUCAGAGGACAUCACUCCUUUGCUCUGGAGAAAAGGAGGCAUGUUAUGCAGGCGUCGGUUCUGGCUCCUUGACCCUUUGGCAGGGCAUCAGAGCACAGCCUUGGACUCCAGUCUGCAGGUUUUCUCCUUGGCAAUAUUGUUAAGGGAUACCUCUCUAAAGUGUCCAGGAAAACUGCAGACACUUUGGUUGUGCAAUUUCUCAUAUGCAGAAUCUCUAAAGGUACUGGAACCUGCUGAGGAUUGAUCACUACAUGAAUCUAACCACUUACAUGUUUGCACAUGGACUGAAAGGUAUGUUUUCUGAAGUAGUCACUUUUAUGGAGUCCUGCCUUUGUAGAAAUUCUCUGAGACAUCUUUAAAAGCUUUGUUUUCAGAGGGUGCUGAACCCAAAUUCUUAUGCUCU
rnacentral:lncRNA from 1 species